UGGUAUGCAUUCUGGGAAAAAAUUCUAGGUCCAGAAACAUACUCUGAAGCAAAUCUAUGUUUGGUAUGCAUUUUCAGAAUAAAUUAUGGGUUUGGAACACCUUCUGCAACAAUGAAAAUAGGGUUGUGUUUGAUUUCAGAUUUUAAAAUGUGUUAUAAACGGAUGAGUGCAGUAGCUGCGGGAAAGCAUCACACUCCGAGGUUCUGAGGGAUUAGCCGAAACCCAAAUUAAUACAUGCCGUGAUCUCAGGAGACUCCAUCCCGCCAUUUAUUUGGUAGCUUUUGCAUAUGUUAAUCUGGACCUAGAGGAUGCUUGAAAAAGAAAAAAAAAACAGUUAGGGAUAUUGUUGAACCAAAACUGCUUAGCAUUCUCCGUUGGUGCAAGAAACCUUUCUAAUGAGGAUAUCACAUGAAAGUUGUGCUCUCUGGAAAUAUUUGUCAGCUGAGGGCAAAGAGUAGCUGCAAUUGGUGCUCCCAGAACUGUGAAAGCUACUAACCACAGGCCUCCAAGACGUAGAAAAAAGGGCCCUGGACUCAGUCCACCCCAUGAAUAUAAGACCUCAUCCUUCAGAGACGAAUAUUCAUUUACCUGAUACACAAAUGAAUACAGUAAGUAUGAACUCAUUCACAUUUUAUAAAUUUAGAAUUGGAAUACAAUCUUUUGCAGUGGAGAAUGGAAUUACUACUUCCAACCUGAGUGGCACAGAUGGCUUGCUGUCAGGGGACAGCCACGGAGGAACCUUUUUUAGGGGGCCUAUCUUUUGCCACAUCAAACAAUGGAUAUUCCCUUGGUAAACAAUGAUUUCUGAAUUUCAAGUCAUGUGCCGUUGUGUAUGUUCCUACAAGUGAGCUGGAAGUCCAUUCUCUGACAAGUUGGGGGUUUUGGAAUAGUGUUAGUUAUGUUUGGGUUACAACUACUUUUUGGUUGUUGUUGCGUUUUUAUCUGAAGUACUGUGAUGAUGAUGUACUAGUAUGUAAUAUUUCAUAAGAUCUUCCUCCAGGGAACAGACUCGUCCAUGGAAAGACACCAAUUCCAUCAGCAGAAGCAUUACUUGCACCCACACUGGCCAAUCUCUUAUCACCACCAAGUUUCCUGGUUGAGCCACCCUCAAAAAGUCCAGGAAACUCUGAACCUUCCAAGCCCCAACACCAUUCGUGCCCCCUGAGCUUGCAAGAACUCCAAUAGAAACUCUAUUAGAACCUCCAAUUUCUUUUUAAAAUUUUUUUUGCCUAUCCAAAAAAAAUAUAUUUCAUAAGAUCAAUGCAAGUUCCUAGUAAGGGAGUUUGCUCCCAAAAUAAAAAGUGAAAAGGAUUGAUCAUUGAUAAUGGCAUCACUUCUACAUUCUCUUCUUCGGCUUUCGGCUUUUUUUGGGUUGGGGGGGGGGGAUAGGGUUGGGAGUGAUGCCAGUAAGGUGAUCUGGUCCUAAUCUCUCUGAGUGCAUGCUAUUUGUGCUGCAGAGGCGGGCAAAUGUAGCUUGUUCACCUUCCUGAUGACUCACAGUGAGAGCUGCUAAGUGAAAAAAUCCUUGAAAAUAAAGACCUUUCCAUACACUUAUUCCACAUCUUUGCAUCUGUGGUUACAAUAUGGAUCUUCAUGCAAACAAAUCAUUUCCUCCAAAGCUUAUGGUCUAAAUAACUUAUGGGUUUGGGUAGAAUUGCUUCUAAUGCUAAUUUAUCCUGGAAACCAGGAAUAUCAGAUUGGAAAUCCAAUUGAUAUGUUCAACUUUGGACCUUUAUUAUUUUUUCACAGAAAUUUUGUGCCCAGCUGAUCCUGAUGAUUCCUUUCUUGUUAAGCCUUUCUCUUGAUCCCAUGCUUUUAUUCAUCUCCCUUUUUUAUGUCUCUCCGUAUGUGCUUAAGUCCUCCCCUGCUCUUCUUGUUAAUCAAUUUACUUGUUUUACUGUUGCAUAUCGUGUAUGUAAUUAGAAAACUGACACAGGUUUUCACUUUUAACUACCAUACAGAAGCACUGGAGACUUUUUUUCAUGUUACUGUAUUUUGUUAGAUCAAUCAUCAAGAAUGAAAAGUUGCUACCCGAGUUUGCAACUCUACCAAGUACCAAACAGAAGCUGACUUGGUUAGACCAUGGUGAGUGAAUAUACAAAGAAGAAAGAGAUAUGGGUGAGUUUCCAUCACCUGAUUCCAUACAAAAGGUACAUGUGUAACAGUAUAAUUACCAUUCAUAACCAAAAGGCAGAGAAAGGUGUGGUAAAUAUUUAUCCAUAUACUUACGGGUCUCUGUUCGAAAGGGACUUCAAUUUCCAACCCAGGAUCCCAGUUUCUUCCAGCAAAUCCUCUUCCACCCCCACCUGGUUCAUCUUUCAAAGCCCGAGCACAAUUCCACCGCGAUGGAUACUGGACUGGCUUAAGAGGCAGAACCCAGAAUCCACAGUUUCUUCCAGUCUUAAUUGGUCUGCCAUGGAAGAUUAUACAGUGAGAAGGAACUUGUUGUCUGAGCAUUUCUUCUCUUGUGCAGGUGAUGAAUGGACAAAGGAGUCUGGAGGUAUGGUUCAUGACACGUGGCAUGUGGUUCCUUUCACGUUCCUAUGCGUGCUUGGCUCAUGUUAUUGUUUCCAGAACAGUGGGCCAACUCGGCACAGGGAAGGAGGAGGUGUGGGGACCCUUACCAUUCAAUCAAGUCCAUACAUUGCAAGAUCAAAUCAGAUGGCAAGACAUGAGCACAAAAAUCCUUUGAGGAAGGCAGGGAGCGGCAGUGAGAAUUCAAAGAUUGGGGUGUAUGUUGGGCUCUCUCAACAGUUGGAUCUUCACUACCACCCAUCACUCACCGAUAAUAAGGGAGAGGUCAUUUAAUUGUGUGGAAGAGAGAGAGAGAGAGCUGUUAGUGUACACUGCCCCUGCGUCUCACAGAACCUUUUUUAAUAUAGUUCUAUUUUUUUCCUAAAAUAUGUUGGGUAAUCUGCCAGUGUACCAUAAGUUAGACCCUUUCUAUUGUCUCUGUCUUUCCCUCUUUAAAAUGACUUACUUGUCCCUCC